GCGGGGUGUUAAGUCGGCACCCCCACUUGUACAAUCUGGAGGCUCGCCAUGGGGUGAGAAGGAGCCCACCUGUAGGGCACACGGGGGUUCGAGUCCCCCACCCCGCA
rnacentral:tRNA from 1 species